UGGUUUUGGCAUCGAUGAAGAACGCAGCGAAAUGCGAUAAGUAAUGUGAAUUGCAGAAUUCAGUGAAUCAUCGAAUCUUUGAACGCAUAUUGCGCCUCCUGGUAUUCCGGGAGGCAUGCCUGUUUGAGCGUCAUUACAACCCUCACGCUUCGCGUGGUAUUGGGCUCGCCGUUUAGGCCUGCCUCAAAAUCAGUGGCGGCGACAUCGAACCCCUAAGCGUAGUAAUACUCGCAGCUUCUGGGAGGCGGUAGUAGCUAGCUAGCAACCCCCAAUCUACAAAGGUUGACCUCAGAUCAGGUAGGGAUACCCGCUGA
rnacentral:misc_RNA from 1 species